UUUUCCAAUCAGUUCCUGGCAGGGAGAAGAUACAAAGUGGUAGCGCUCACAGCGAUGGGAAGGGCUUUGCUUCUGGGCUGCAGCAUGGCAGAGCACGGGGAGACCGCUUCACAAAGCAAGCUCCUGCUUCACCAUGGUCUGCUACCAAGACAGGUGCCUGACUCCCAAAGUGUGAGCAUUUCUACAAAUGAGCAGGGGCACGGGCCCCCAGGAACACUCUGGUGCUGACGUGGCUGCCUUCUUCCCUCUGGGAAGCCUGCGACGGUAUCUCUCCAUCUGUGUCAUGUAUGGAAAAUUUUGUUUCACACAUUUCUGAUGUUCAUUUUGGGACAGAAUAAUGAAGUUUAAAAUAUCUACUUUAAAUCUAAACUACGUGUAAUAAAAACUGUGUGAAUUUUAA
rnacentral:lncRNA from 1 species